rnacentral:rRNA from 1 species
AGGACGAACGCUGGCGGCGUGCCUAAUACAUGCAAGUCUAAGGGGUUGAUUUCCUUCGGGAGAUCAAUCACUGGCGCACGGGUGAGUAACACGUAAGUCAUCUGCCCUUGGGUCUGGCAUAACUCCGGGAAACCGGAGCUAAUACCAGAUGACACCUGACGCGAGAGCGUCGAGGUCAAAGUUUCGACGCCCAGGGAUGAGCUUGCGUCUGAUUAGCUAGUUGGCGGGUAAAGGCCCACCAAGGCAACGAUCAGUAGCCGGUCUGAGAGGAUGAUCGGCCACAUUGGGACUGAGACACGGCCCAGACUCCUACGGGAGGCAGCAGUGGGGAAUAUUGGACAAUGGGCGCAAGCCUGAUCCAGCCAUGCCGCGUGAGUGACGAAGGUCUUCGGAUUGUAAAACUCUUUUUGGCGGGACGAUAAUGACGGUACCCGCAGAAUAAGCCCCGGCUAACUUCGCGCCAGCAGCCGC